CCCUAGCCCUGAUGGGAGGGAAAAUCCUUUUGUGCCGGGGUUCGGCAUAAAAGAUUGGAAGGAACAGCAGGAAAUAGC
rnacentral:sRNA from 4 species